rnacentral:rRNA from 1 species
AGUGGCGAACGGGUGAGUAAAGUAUCGGAACGUGCCCAGUCGUGGGGGAUAACGUAGCGAAAGUUACGCUAAUACCGCAUACGAUCUAUGGAUGAAAGCGGGGGAUCGCAAGACCUCGCGCGAUUGGAGCGGCCGAUAUCAAAUUAGGUAGUUGGUGGGGUAAAGGCUCACCAAGCCGACGAUCUGUAGCUGGUCUGAGAGGACGACCAGCCACACUGGGACUGAGACACGGCCCAGACUCCUACGGGAGGCAGCAGUGGGGAAUUUUGGACAAUGGGCGCAAGCCUGAUCCAGCCAUGCCGCGUGCAGGAUGAAGGCCUUCGGGUUGUAAACUGCUUUUGUACGGAACGAAAAGGUUUGGCCUAAUAAGCUGAGCUCAUGACGGUACCGUAAGAAUAAGCACCGGCUAACUACGUGCCAGCAGCCGCGGUAAUACGUAGGGUGCGAGCGUUAAUCGGAAUUACUGGGCGUAAAGCGUGCGCAGGCGGUUAUGUAAGACAGAUGUGACAUCCCCGGGCUCAACCUGGGAACUGCAUUAGUGACUGCAUAGCUGGAGUACGGCAGAGGGGGAUGGAAUUCCGCGUGUAGCAGUGAAAUGCGUAGAUAUGUGGAGGAACACCGAUGGCGAAGGCAUCCCCUGGGCCUGUACUGACGCUCAUGCACGAAAGCGUGGG